rnacentral:rRNA from 1 species
UAGUCCACGCCGUAAACGAUGAUAACUAGCUGUCCGAACCCACAGGGUUUGGGUGGCGCAGCUAACGCAUUAAGUUAUCCGCCUGGGGAGUACGGUCGCAAGAUUAAAACUCAAAGGAAUUGACGGGGGCCUGCACAAGCGGUGGAGCAUGUGGUUUAAUUCGACGCAACGCGCAGAACCUUACCAGCUUUUGACAUCCUGGUCGCGGAUUUGGGAGACCAUUUCCUUCAGUUCGGCUGGACCAGUGACAGGUGCUGCAUGGCUGUCGUCAGCUCGUGUCGUGAGAUGUUGGGUUAAGUCCCGCAACGAGCGCAACCCUCAUCCUUAGUUGCCAGCAUUUAGUUGGGCACUCUAAGGAAACUGCCGGUGAUAAGCCGGAGGAAGGUGGGGAUGACGUCAAGUCCUCAUGGCCCUUACAAGCUGGGCUACACACGUGCUACAAUGGUCGUGACAAAGAGUUGCUAGUCUGCGAAGGCAAGCCAAUCUCAUAAACGCGGCCUU